rnacentral:rRNA from 1 species
GACGAACGCUGGCGGCGUGCUUAACACAUGCAAGUGGAGCGACGAACCGGGGCUUGCCCCGGGGCAGAGCCGCGAACGGGUGAGUAACACGUGGGUAACCCACCCCGAUGACCGGGACAACCCGAGGAAACUCGGGCUAAUACCGGAUGUGCUCCUUGACCAUGAGGUCAAGGCGUAAAGAUAGCUUCGGCCUUCGCAUCGGGACGGGCCCGCGGCCCAUUAGCUUGUUGGUGGGGUAACGGCCUACCAAGGCGACGAUGGGUAGCUGGUCUGAGAGGACGAUCAGCCACACUGGGACUGAGACACGGCCCAGACUCCUACGGGAGGCAGCAGUGGGGAAUCUUGCGCAAUGCGCGAAAGCGUGACGCAGCAACGCCGCGUGGGGGAAGAAGGCCUUCGGGUUGUAAACCCCUUUCAGUUGGGACGAAGCUUCGCCGGUGAAUAGCCGGCUGGAGUGACGGUACCUUCACAAGAAGCCCCGGCUAACUACGUGCCAGCAGCCGCCGUAAGAC